GGAGGGGAUAGGGGAUUUUUGGAGAGGAAACUUGGAAAGUUUGAAAUGUAAAUGAAGAAAACAUCUAAUUAAAAAAAAAGGUUGUUAACAAGUUAUAAAAAAGUUGUAUGUUUAUUUACUGUCUGUUAUAUAAAUGCAAAUAUCAUUGUCAUUAUACAAGUAAACCUAAUUACUUUGAAACCUUUGUUCAAAUUUAUAGCUUUAUCUUCACAUAUUUGUAUAAUUACCGAUGCUGUAAACACUUUAAAAGAAUAUGAGUAAAUAUCAGUGUUCUAUUGGAAAAAUAAAAAAGCUUUAAUCAACUUAUUGUAAACUUAAUAAAAAUAGAAAUUUUGCCUAUUUCA
ensembl:lincRNA Gm29107 predicted gene 29107